CAGCUUCCCAGAGUAGUACCUGACAUUUGGCUGUGGGUCUCUGCAUCUGUUUCCAUCAGCUGCUAGGUGAAGCCUCUCACAUGACAGUUAUGCUCGGCUCUUGUCGAACGAGAAGGACGCCAAAGCACGUGAAGCUGAAACACGCAACCUGCACGACUCUGCAGUGUUCAUCAAGCUGUGAAGAGUCUCAGCCCCAGGCUCCUGAUGCCGUGAAUUCCACCAUACCACUCUCACCAUGGUGGUCUGUAUGCCCUCAGACCAAAGAUCAAGACGUAAACUGGAUCACCUACCCCCAGUAAGAGUGGAGAAGGACACAAAGUAUCAACCUCAGAAACACAAGAGGGAAACUGAAGGGCAGCGCACAUAAUCCUAACACCUGAGAGGCAGAAACAGGAGGAUCACAAGUUCAGGGCCAGUUUCUGAUGUUGGAAAACCUUGUCUCAGAAGCAACAACAACAAACCAAAGCAAAGGGGAAGAAAAGCAUGAAGAGGAAUCCAGCACUACUACGACCCCACAGACAACUGAAGCUCCUGAGUGUUAAAAACAACCCGAGAUACACACAUCUAGUCACCCUUUCGGAAACACGAAUUCUUUUGAAAACCCCAUGCUACUAAAAUCCAUUUCAAUUGAAGUAGGCAGCCUGAAUAUUCCUGCAACCAGAGAGUCUGGAUUGACAGUGUAACAUUCUCCAGGAGAAAAGCCUAGGCAUCGAACAUUUCACAACAGAAUGAUCCCCAGUGUUUAAAGGAACAACCGCCCUCUCUUGGGAACACAGAAUUCCUCAGCACAUGGAGAUCCCUGGUUGUGCCAACUGGACUGACAGCUCAUUCCCCUCCCCAUGCCGCACCUCAUACAGUAGUGUUUCCUGGGCCCCUCCUGCUGUGCAAGUGUUCUGCUCAGUGCCCUGGUCUUUCCCUCUCUAGCUCCUUCACUGCUUUGCUCUCUUGCUUCCUCCCUUCCUCCCUCUCUCCCUCCUUCCCAACCUCCCUCCC
rnacentral:lncRNA from 1 species